rnacentral:lncRNA from 1 species
GACAAGCCCCUGUCAAAGAUAGUAGGACCAGCUAACAGCAGAGAUAACCAGAUGUCGAGAGACAAGGUCAAGAACAUAAGCAACAGAAUCCAAGGCUACUUGGCAUCCUUAGAACCCAGUUAUCCCACCACAGUGAGAAGUGGAUACCCCAACACACCAGAAAAGGACUCAGAUUUAAAAUCACAUCUCAUGAUGAUGAUAGAGGAAUUUAACAAGGAGAUAAAUAACUCCCUUAAAGAAAUACAGGAGAACACAAGUAUACAGCUUGAAGCACUUAAAGAGGAAACACAAAAAUCUCUUAAAGAGUUGCGGUAAAACACAACCAAAGAAGUGAAGGAAUUGAACAAAACCAUCCAGGAUCUAAAAAAUGGAAAUAGAAACAACAAAGAAUUCACAAAGGGAGACAACCUUCAGAUAGAAAACCUAGGAAAGAGAUCAGGAGUCAUAAAUGCAAAAACCACCAAUAGAAUAUAAGAGAUGGAAGAGAGAUUCUCAGAUACCAUAGAAAACAUUGAUGCAACAGUCAAAGAAAAUGCAAAAUGCAAAAAGAUCCUAAUGCAAAGUAUCCAGGAAUUCCAGGACACAAGGAGGAGACCAAACCUAAGGAUAAUAGUUAUUGAAGUAAAUGAAGAUUCCCAACUUAAAGGGCCAGUAAAUAUCUUUAAGAAAAUUAUGGAAGAAAACUUCCCUAACCUAAAGAAAGAGAUGCCCAUAAGCAUACAAGAGGCCUAAAGAACUCCAAAUAGGUUGGACCAGAAAAGAAAUUCUUCCCAUUACAUAAUAGUCAAAAUACCAAAUACACAAAACAAAGAAAGAAUAUUAAAAGCAGUAAGGGAAAAUGGUCAAGUAACAUUUAAAAGCAGACCUAUCAGAAUUAUGCCAGAAUUCUCAAAAGAGACUAUGAAAAUUAGAAGGUCCUAGGCAGAUGUCAUACACACCCUAAGAGAACACAAAUGCCAGCCCAGGCUAGUAUACCCAGCAAAACUCUCAAUUACCAUAGAUGGAGAAACCAAGAUAUUCCAUGACAAAACCAAAUUUCUACAAUAUCUUUCCACAAAUCCAGCCAUACAAAGGAUAAUCAAGGGAAAACCCCAACAGAAGGAGGGAAACUACACCCUAGAAAAAACAAGAAAGUAAUCUUUCAACAGACCC